UACUUCGCGGUCGGCGCGACCGUGCGGCUGCUGCCCGCGCCCGACGUCGCCGAGAUCCUCCGCCUGGUGGAGGAG
rnacentral:tRNA from 1 species